ACGGGAGGCAGCAGUGGGGAAUAUUGGACAAUGGGGGAAACCCUGACCCAGCGACGCCGCGUGAGUGAAGAAGUAUUUCGGUAUGUAAAGCUCUAUCAGCAGGGAAGAUAAUGACGGUACCUGACUAAGAAGCCCCGGCUAACUACGUGCCAGCAGCCGCGGUAAUACGUAGGGGGCAAGCGUUAUCCGGAUUUACUGGGUGUAAAGGGAGCGUAGACGGAAGGCCAAGUCUGAUGUGAAAACCCAGGGCUCAACCCUGGGACUGCACUGGAAACUGGUCAUCUAGAGUGCAGGAGGGGUAAGCGGAAUUCCUAGUGUAGCGGUGAAAUGCGUAGAUAUUAGGAGGAACACCAGUGGCGAAGGCGGCUUACUGGACUGUAACUGACGUUGAGGCUCGAAAGCGUGGGGAGCAAACAGGAUUAGAUACCCUGGUA
rnacentral:rRNA from 1 species